AUUGAACGCUGGCGGCAGGCUUAACACAUGCAAGUCGAGCGGGGUGAUGGUGCUUGCACAAUCACUUAGCGGCGGACGGGUGAGUAAUGCUUAGGAAUCUGCCUAUUAGUGGGGGACAACAUCUCGAAAGGGAUGCUAAUACCGCAUACGUCCUACGGGAGAAAGCAGGGGAUCACUUGUGACCUUGCGCUAAUAGAUGAGCCUAAGUCGGAUUAGCUAGUUGGUGGGGUAAAGGCCUACCAAGGCGACGAUCUGUAGCGGGUCUGAGAGGAUGAUCCGCCACACUGGGACUGAGACACGGCCCAGACUCCUACGGGAGGCAGCAGUGGGGAAUAUUGGACAAUGGGGGGAACCCUGAUCCAGCCAUGCCGCGUGUGUGAAGAAGGCCUUAUGGUUGUAAAGCACUUUAAGCGAGGAGGAGGCUCUUUUGGUUAAUACCCAAGAUGAGUGGACGUUACUCGCAGAACAAGCACCGGCUAACUCUGUGCCAGCCGCCGCGGUAA
rnacentral:rRNA from 1 species